AAAGAGGAAUUAAAGUUUUUACCUUUUGUCAGAACGUGUUCCCUCUUUU
rnacentral:tRNA from 1 species